UAUCAAAAACAAAGAAAACCCCAAAAUUGGUUGUACUUAUUCUCUGUGCUGUGUGUCUUCAGUAUCUGAUACAAGGAUUCGAUUCUUUUGUUUUAAUUGCAGGGGAAGCCAGAGGAUACAUUAUAUAAUAUACGCAAAACGACCGAGGCGGCUACCAAGGAAUCAAUGAUAAUCAGGACAAUCAAGGUUGUCCCAGCCACUAAAUCAUUGCGGGUCAGGCUUUUUGGGAAGUGUUUGAUGUAGCAAAGUUAAAGUUUCUGGUGACUGUUGGUUGGAAGCUACUUGCUUUGGGUUUGCAUGUCUAUGAUGGAGAUUGCUGGAACUCUUGUGGCUUUAGAGAAAUCGCUUUGCCCACUGAAUCACCUGGCCAUUUUUCAAAUUGAAUACAAGGAAAUGAGAGUGCCCUGUUGUGGAUUCUUCUUGUAACAAGCCCAUAAGACAUGCCUCGUCCCUGAUGCAAAUGAUGUCUUUGCUGGAGAAAAUGAAAUUGUAAUGGGGAAUGUGUUCCCGGAGAUGAUUCAAAAACGCUAUUGAAAGGACCAAUCACCAUUCAGGCAAGCAAAAGAAUCUCGUGGAAUUCUUGCAUUCUUUACAUUCAAAGUUUCAAGCUUGUGAAAAUUUUAGUACUUUGUUCUUUAUAUCUUGAAAAUCUUGAUUUUGGGGUUUGGUCCUGCUGCUUAAUUUCUUGCAUCAUGUCUUUGUGCAUUCAGUGUUCAUGAAAAUUUUGUUAACUUGAAUGUUAUGUAUUUGCUUGAAUGGGUUAUCUCAGUUACAUUUUGAGCUUAUUCAGUGGGGGCUACUUGACCCCCUCCAUGGGACUCCAUGAAGGAGACCCAGCCAUCUCCCCUUGUUUUCUAAUUUGUGCAGAAUGUUUGUCCUCUAUGUUGGAGGAGCAGAGCAUAUAAUGGAGACAAGUGAAGUCCAUUAUCAGUUUUUCAGAGGAUGAUAGUCUCAUCGAUUAAGGAUUGAACAUUUUAGAAAUCUCGAUGGCCUAGGAAGUAUUAAGACCAUUAUCUGGUCCAAGGGGGCAUAUCUUAGGAACUCUCUGGGUUUUGAGAAGUGUUUUGUUAAGCAAUUGCAAUAUUGGAUUGAGUAACGAAAUGGCAAGCAAGGAACAGUUAGAAGUCUAUAACCUUAGGGAUCUUUAUUGCUGUGUCUUCUGUCAGAAUAGCACCUGCUGACACAACUGGAGUUCAUGUUUUUGAUAAAGAUUUUAUGGUAGGAUUCAGAUAUUUCUGCUGCAGAAAUCUGAGUAUUAAUCAAAUUUCUUAGGGUAUAGACUUCUCGAUGAAAUAGUAAUGGAUGGUACUAACCCCAGCCCAGCAAAUUUCCUGGUUCUAGGCUUCUUGAAGUUUGAUAAGUUCAAUGGAUCGCCAUGGUACAAACAAUUCAGAUGUCAUUUCCAUCGGAUGUGAGACUAUUGAGCAAAUUCCUUCAGGUGAUGGGACUCCCAAUAAUUGAUUAGUAUUAUAGUUGGAAUUGCUUAUGAUAUAUAUGGAUCACAUACAGCUUAUAACAAAGGGGCUAUUUAACUGGGUGUAAGUAGACCAGAAAUAAGGGAAGCAAGUUCUUCUUUGUUACAAGCCCUUUGUGAUCCAUGUUAUGGGGUUUCAUAAUAUUAGAAAUAAUAGAUCAUAUGCAGCAAGCAGCCAAGGACAUUCUUUAAACUAAACAAAAUUGAUAAUGCAUGCAGAAAAUCUUCAGUGAUAAAGAGCCACGAUGUUACACAGAAGAUGGAUCGCUAUUGAAGUUGAAUAUAACAAUCACCUAUGGACAUGUUUGAUACGGUGAUGGCUUCGGCUGGCCAACUUUCAGCUGUCAGUGUGUAGCUCUUGAAGGUACUUUUAAUCUUCAAAUCAAUGGCUUAUUGAAUAUCAGAAUAAAGCAACAACGCACUUGUCUGCUGAUUGGCUGGACAAUCCAAUACCUUAGCUCCAGCAAAACAAGAACGGGUAGCCUACAGCUGCUGCUGUAUUGCUCUGUUGUUGUUUUGAUGGUCUCUUGCCCUAGCUUCAUAUUCUUUUCUUCGCUUCAUUGGUUAUGUUGCUACUACGAUGCACCCAUCCUCCUUUGAAGUGGUUGCUACCUAGCUGGAUUCUGCUCUUGGAUGGAUAUUGGCUGCGGUUGCCUUCAACAAGGAGAACAUUGCAACAGACAACAGUGCUGGACUGCUAUAUAUAUAUAUAUAUCCGCUGAAAUGCUGCUAGUUUUGUUACUGCAGGGUUACUAGCAGCAUUUUUAUUUCUGUUGCUGCAGACCUCGGGGGUUUGUUCUCAAUAUGUACUGCUGGCACUUCUACCGAGUCAUGAAGUCCCAUUUCUGGUGCAAGGGCCCGGCCAGAGGAGUCAUUGUGCCUGCCAUACUUGAGGUGGAUCCCAGUUUCAGUUAUGUUUCUACUGCAUUGCUACUUCUGAUAUUGGCGUUGCAGUCCUGUUGCCGCAACUGAUGCUGCUGCUGGUUCUGCUGUGUUUCUUUGGUUAGAUCUUUGGGUUGUUUUGCCCUUCUCUCGCAUUUUCAGUACUCUGAUAGAUAGCUGUUAGAUGCGAACUGCAAUUUUCUUUUCUUUUUUGUUGGUUCUGCUACAUUGUAAAUUCUUUGUCAUUAAUAAAAUUCUAUGAUUUUCUUUUCC